AACUUCUUUCUAUAAAAAUGUUACUCUAAACUUAGUGUUAUUUAUUCUUUCCUCACAGAUACUAUACUUGCCUGGGAGGUUCCUUGGGAACUGCUUAAAGCAGCAUUUUCUCUUUGGAAGUUUUCUGUGUUCUAAUGCUGAUGACAAGAAACAGACAAGUUAUACUUUCAAAGACAUGAGGUACCUGUGGAGUCUAAGAAGACUAGCUCCAGCCUGACCCUCCAUUUCAAGUUCAGGUUCCUACAACUGGAUGUUUCCUGGCCAUUUUGAAAAGUUAUUGCAUUCUAUUUGAGACAAGAUCAGUGGAGGUCAAAGGUCAGAACACUUGACUGGAGGUAUGACAUUAGGAAAAUGGGCAUUUCAGUAAUCAUUCUGAACUUGAUUUGGAGCAAAUAAUAAGGCAGAGACACCUUUGAUCUACUGACUGAGGCCCAGACGUGGCCUGGUAUUUUUUGCUAGUGCUAUAUCUCUAGAGUUCAU
rnacentral:lncRNA from 12 species